rnacentral:rRNA from 1 species
GAUGAACGCUGGCGGCGUGCCUAAUACAUGCAAGUCGAGCGAACAGACGAGGAGCUUGCUCCUCUGACGUUAGCGGCGGACGGGUGAGUAACACGUGGAUAACCUACCUAUAAGACUGGGAUAACUUCGGGAAACCGGAGCUAAUACCGGAUAAUAUAUUGAACCGCAUGGUUCAAUAGUGAAAGACGGUUUUGCUGUCACUUAUAGAUGGAUCCGCGCCGCAUUAGCUAGUUGGUAAGGUAACGGCUUACCAAGGCAACGAUGCGUAGCCGACCUGAGAGGGUGAUCGGCCACACUGGAACUGAGACACGGUCCAGACUCCUAAGGGAGGCAGCAGUAGGGAAUCUUACGCAAUGGGCGAAAGCCUGACGGAGCAACGCCGCGUGAGUGAUGAAGGUCUUCGGAUCGUAAAACUCUGUUAUUAGGGAAGAACAAAUGUGUAAGUAACUAUGCACGUCUUGACGGUACAUAAUCAGAAAGACACGGCUAACUACGUG